UCGCCAGCAUUUUAUUUGCUGAAUUUCGUUUUGGUUUCCAAGGCUUUUUAAACAUGCGAACUUUACUGUGUUUUCCAUGGAUUUCGGAUUACAACAAACACCUUUGGAGCAUCCGUACUUGCACAACCAAUUUGACUGUAAGUGCUAUUUUUUGUGCACUUAGUUAAAAUAAAUAUAACAUAUUGCCAAACUGCAGAAAAAGACCAAAUCCAAACUCCCGCAUAUUGUACGAAACUGAACCUCAAGUACGGCCAAACAUCAUCAACACCAAAAGUCAGGAACCUAAACUACUAAACCUAUACGCCCGACCAGCAUUAGUAUAUUCGAACUGCCGAUGAUGGAGGACCUGGCCGUCAACACCAUCACGGCCUGCGCGUACCGCAGCACAGCUUGGCACUGCUCUCUCGGCCCAGCUGCAUAGCAGACGCCGGCGACCUCGAGAUGGCCAUGGGAGACAGCCGCCUCGAGCACGGCUGGAGCCAAGUCGUCUAUAGAGGAGCCCGCCAUGGCCGUGGGAUAGGAUGGAGCCAGCUCAUCCUACACUGAAUCCAUUCUUUUCAGACAACGGACACCAUGUCAUUUUUUCCUGCUAAUCUACACUUCCAUGGUAAUCCAUGGUGAAGUUCAGGUUCAGAUGCCCCAAUGGACAAAUGCCAGAUAGAGAUGAACGCACGCGAGGAGACGACCAUCCCCGAGGCAGCCGACAUUGAUGGAUGGAGCUGGUGGGUGGCUCGAGGGGGCACUGUUGUCGGGGUGGGCAGCGCGGUGGCCACGCGCGGGACCAUGGUGUCUAUUCGUCGGGGGGUCGCGCAUCCCCGGGAGAAGGCGCGGAGGUUCGCCAGGGACUUGGCCGGGGCCGGCGACCCUGUGGCGGCUGCCGCAUCCAUUGAGCGAUGCACAUGCAGAGGAAGAAGCUAGGGCGCGAGGAGGCCGCAGCAGGAUGCGACGACGCGUGCUGGCGGCGGACGGAUCCGGUCACAGGGGCGGCACGGCGGCCGGAACCAGGUGCGAGGGCGGCGCGGUGGCAAGACCCGGGCGCGAGUGGCACCGAGGUCAGAUCCACGCGAGGGGCCGGUGCGGGGGCCGGAUGCAGGCGAUGGGAGGCAGGAGGUGUGACGGAGCCAGGGGCCGGGGCGGGAGGCGCGCCGGAGUUAGGCGGCCAGCUUCGGAGGCUCGCUGCUCCAAACUUGUAAGGAUGAUGCUAACAAAAUGAUAAAAUAAAAUGUCACUAAACUUUUUCUUAGAAAUGGUAUUCUGAAGACCUCAUCAAGGGUGAUGCCAGAGUUGGCAACAUCCAGUUCACAUCCAAAUAUGGUACAGAUCUUGGUGUAUGGCCAACCAAACAAUCGGAUGAAGGAUAAUGUCUUGAUUGAGAUUAGUAUAUUGGUGUGAGUUAUUGAAAAUUUCUCACUGAGUGCAAUAUGCAUAUCACAUUCGAUGUCAAAAGAAAACACGUGAAAAGGCACUAUGCAUUAACCUUACACAGGAUAGAUCGAGAAACAAAUUAACCCAGGUUAUUCGACUGCUCCAAUUAGCGGUUCGUAAAGAAAAAUCAAUCAGGAAUUUGAGGCCCACACAUGGGUAAGGAAAAAAAAUUCCUCUUUACCGCACCAACGCAAAGGCAUGUUUAUAACUUUUAUAAAACUAACCUAGUCGAGCUGGACCUAAGGGCCACCCUACACGAGCUACACUCUGCACCUAUUUCAUAGAUCGUCCCUCAUAGUCCAACUUGCUUUUAAUUUUAUUUUUUCCAGAAUGCAUUAACAUUCUCUUUUUGAAAAACACGGACAUUUUCUUGAAUCAUAACCUUUUUAAAGUUACAAACCUUUUUAACAUGCAAACACUUUUAGAAUUACAUGAACGUUUUUAAAAAGGGUUAUUUUUUUAGAAAAUGUGAACGUACAUGUCCUCUUUUAUGCAUGUGUGGCGUGCCCCUCUCACCCUCUCUCUCUUCCCGCGACCAACACUUCUUCUGGUCGGCCCCACCACUGAAACAACAUAUUUUUUUUCUUAUUUCCUUUCCUUUCCCUUACCUUAUCUCCUCAACUCUUCUAGUGGGCUCAGUUUGAGCUCAAUGAGGCGUUUCCCACAAGAUGAGAUGGUGAGAUGCAGUCCGCCGUCUAGGGCCAUCGCCGUCGCUAGCGACAAGUAGGGGUCUGUCGCGGAUAGCACGGCCCGUGUACGGCAUGUCCAAGCCCGGGCCUAAGCUGUGGCGGCUGCUCCCAUGCCUAUGCUCCCCUCAAUUCGUGCUCGGAAAUGAUUCACACAAGAUGAGAUGCGGUGUGCCGUUCGAGGUCGUCGCCGUCGCCGGAGGCAAGGCGAUAGCUAUUGCGGGUAGCACCGCUUGCGUCCGGCGCGCCUAUGCCCGAGCCUAAGCUAUGGCAGCUGCUCCAUGCCGCUGUUCCCCGCCAAACAACAUCGUGUGCGGGGGGGGGGGGGGGGGGGGGGGGGGGGGUCAGCUGGUACCUCGAGAUACAGCAGGAGCUCUUUGGAGCUCGAUGCAAGCUCACAGGCAGAGGAGGGUCUAAAAUUUGUAGAUUCAAGGCGCAACAACUUACCUAUGCAUGAUGAAGUGCCAGAAGCUGCUUCCAUGCUCGAGAACACAGUUGAUGCAUGCUGAUCCACAGAGAGAGCAAUUUUCUAUCAAUCCUGAUCUAUUCUCAUGUGAUCUAGGGGGCAACAUUGACAAUGUAGUAGAUGGGAAGGAGAAAGGAUGUAGCCGGAAAGAUAUUUUGGCGAUUAUCUGUUGUUACACAAGAGAAAAAAAGUUUGUUUUGCUGAUUAUCUAGAACAAAUUAGAGAGGUACGCUGUGUUUUAUUGAGUCCAACUUCCAUGUUGUGUUUCUCCUUUAA